UAAAUUAUUAAAAUGAUGAUAAUGGCUUAUAAGAAGAAAGGCAACAAAAUUUUUCCCUUUUUCUUUUUCUAAUUUUCCUCAAUUUUUAUUCUCAUUUCUUUGGCGCAAGCUGUUUACAAUCCAAACGAAAUUGAACCUUCCAUGGAAAAGGGAAAAAAUAAAAUAAAAUAAGAAGCACUAUCAAAUUUCAAAUAAAUUUCCUUUUUUUUUUUUUUUUUUUUUUUUACAUUUUUUUAUGGAAGAAACGAUAAAAAUGUAGGGAAAAAAAUAUUCAAAAGUAAUUUAUUUUUAAUUUCAAAAACCUAAUUUAUUUUACCUUUUCUUCCUAUUUUUUUUCCCUCGGAUUUUUCUUUAAAACAUUUACGAGAACAAAGCAUAAUCAACCAAACAUAGCCUACACGUUUCCUAUGUCAUUUUCCCAGGAAAAAGAACAGGUGUUUAAUCUCCCUACUCCACUUAUUUUCAUUAAUUUAUCAGCAACUUAAAGUUUUCGUGGGACAAAUACAGAGAAUAUCAAGAACGAUUCCUCUUAUCACCGGUAUUGUUAACAGUGAUGGAGAAUUGGCACAAGGUUGAGAGCAAACUUCUUACGGACAGCAAGACCUGCUGCUUCUUCCAUGCUAAUAUCUGCCUCCCUCAUCCCAUUCGGCAAGUUCCAAUUGAAACGAUAUAAAAGAUUAGCAAGUGCGAGCUCCACUGUUGCAAUCGCCAUAUACAUACCCGGGCAAAUUCUUCUUCCCGCUCCGAAAGGCAGUAGCUCAAAAUGUUGUCCUCUAAAAUCUACAGAGUUGUCCAUAAACCUCUCGGGCAGAAACUCCUCUGGGUUCUUCCAGAGGUUGGGGUCUCUCCCAAUUGCCCAAACGUUUACGUGGACUUGGGUUUUCGGGUAAAUGUGGUACCCGUUUAUCUCAAAAUGUGACAUGGUUUCUCUUGGAACUAGAAGUGGGACGGGAGGAUGCAGUCUCAAAGUUUCUUUGACCACCAUCUUGAGGUAGUGAAGCUGAUCGACAUCACCCUUCGUGACUUUUCCUUUUUUUCCAAUGGAGCUUCUAACUUCAACCUGGGCUUUUUUCAUUAUUCUUGGGUUCCUAGCAAGCUCGGUCAUUGCCCAAGUUAGGGUGAUUGCACCAGUGUCCACUCCAGCCAAGAAUAAAUCCUGAGGCACAUGUUAAAAGUAGGCAAAAGAACACUUUAGUUCCAAGUAUACCAAGCUAAGCAUUAUGCCAUUCUUGGCUCAAAGAAACCAAGACGCAAAGUCAAAUUAAAUGAUAAUCGAUUGGCCCUUUUGUAGAUAGCUCCAAGGCACUCUACGUAACUGCUCCUGCCUCCCGUCUCUCUCCUCCACAUUUCCAUUUACAUCAUUAAUAGAACUUAUCAAGUAUUUUAUGACACGAGAUCUGACCAUAACUACAUUCAAACUUAACGAUGUAAAGUGUGUUGAGUUAUCCAAGUGUGAGCUUAGGAAAUGUGAUAUUAAGCUUCCCAAAUGGGGACCUGAUCUAUCAUUCAUCCUUUAAAUAGCUAAGAGUUGAAACAACAAUAAUACAUAUUCAUGAUACUUAACAAACUCAAAAAAGAAACGAAAAAAAAUGAGACGGAUCAAAGGAGUAGGUUGGUGGCUUACCAUGAUGAUUGCUUUUGCACUAUCUUUAGUAAACUGUACAGCACCGGAUUCAGACCGUUCCCUCUCUAUUUUCAGCAGCACGUCGAUGAUGUCUUCAUGCUCCUCUUUCACCCUUCCUGGGUUGAGAUGGUCCUCAAUCACCCGUUCGUAGAAACCGUCCAUUUCAAGGAAACUCCUCUCAAGCCUUCCAUGAAGACCAGUGAGUCUAUCCACAAUCCGACCCACGUACGGAAAGAAAUCGGCUGCAGUGAACCCGCCCAACAAAGCCACGGCUUCAUGAACCACUUCUUGAAAUCUUCCGUCACCAAACUCACUCACUUGAAAACUCUUUCCGAAUGCAAUCCUGCAAAUUAUAUUUGCAGUGAGAGACAUUAACCUCUCGGUAAGAUCAAUAGGACUUCCAGAAGAAGAUGAUUGCGCAAUUGAAUCAAUCAGCAAAGUGACCUCCUCUUCUCUGAUGAACUGAAACGAUUGCACCCUUUUUGUGCUAAACACCUCAAGAACACAGAUCUUGCGUACUUCCCUCCAGUAAUCGCCGUAUGGCGCAAAACCUAUGUCUCGGUGAUUGUAUGAGAAUUUUCCAGGUCCAACUAAGGGAGGUCGACUGCAACAAUCAAUAUCAUGAGUUUUCAAGAAUUCCCUUGCAGCUUCCGCAGAGGAGACUACGACGGUAGGGACACCGAGCUGAAGGAGCAUGAUGGAGCCAUAUUUCUUAGAUAGUUGCCAUAAAGAGUAGUGAGGCAACGCACCAAGUUGGUGCAAAUUACCUAUAAUGGGAAGCUUAGUUGGGCCAGGAGGCAGCGGCUUCUUUUGCCCCUUCAACUCUAUUUUCCGUUUUAUGAGAAACAUAAGAGGGAGAAGUAGUAGAAGCAGAUGAAGCCAGAUUGAUGGAGAAUAGAGCGCCAUUGGAACUUGCUCGCUCUAUGAAUCUUGGGUGGGUUGUAGAUACACUACAAAAAGAUACUUUUAUAGUUGCGGUCCUAUCCUGCAGCUAAAAUUAACAAAAAGUUGUGACCAUAUAAAAUUUAGAUAGGGAUAAAAUAGAGCAAAGCUUAGUCAUAGACCAUAGAGGGUGCAGACAAAUCCUAUGGCUGUAGCCACUUAUAAAACUGCCACUAGAAGAAGCUAAAAAUUAUUAAUAGGCUAUACAGGGUUGCAGUUUUCUCUUGGCUGCUACACUUUUCUUGGCCCCUACUAUAGCUAAUUUAUGUGGACAUAAUUUAUUCACUACUAUAGAUCUUUAUUUUUAUUUAUUUAUUUAUUUCAAUGCCUUUUCCUAUUUAUCAAUUAAAAUAUUUUCAAGAGGAAAACCAAUAUCCGAACACAUUUACACACACACAAUUGCCAAUGCUUUCAACGUUAAUUGAAAAUAGAAAAUGCAAAAGACUUUGAUGAGCUGUUUUGCUGAACCACUGGCAAAAAGUAGUAAGCGAGCACUUGUGAGCAUCAAUUGCAAGGUAGGCACUUGCCAUUUCUCACCAGCCUGAGAUGCACUCACAAAUGCAUGGUUUUUGGUGUGUGCAGGAUGAGCCAUCCCUCUAAUGCUAGAAGGCAUUCUUGAGGUUUCUCACCACCAUGUCCUUUCCUCUUUCAGUUCGGUGUCCCGCUGAUCUGAUCUUCAGACAACACUAAAUAACUCAAAAUCAUAAAAUAUAUGUGUUAGUUUCUAAUUUAACAUAAAUAAUAAUCCAUAAAUUCAAAUUUCAAAGACCAAAGUUAAUUUAACAAUUAAACAAAAGUAAUAAAUCCAUUAAUCUAAAAUAAUUAAUAAAAAGCAAUAAGUCACAUCCUAUGAUAACUAAAAAGUGAUAAAUAUAAUUUAAUUUUAAAUAAUAAUAAUAACAAAUAAAUAAACAAUAAUCACCUUUAACAUAUGACAACUUUUACUCUAAAAAGAGCAUUUGAUGAAACUAAAAUUAAAUUAUAUUUAAGUUGUUAAAUUAAAACUUAUUAUUUAAUUUUUAUUUUAAAUAUUAAAAUUUUUUAUAAAAUUAUUUUAAAAAUUAUUUUAAAUCAUCAAAUUAACAUAUUUAUCCUCAUAAAUUAUAAUUAGGGUAAAGAAAGUCAAAUAAUAAUAAAGGUUGUGGAGUAACGAAAAAAAUCAUAGAGAUAAUUAAGAUAAAUCAUAAUAAAAAAAAGGAAAAUAAAGAUGUAAACUUAAUAAUAAUUAAUUGUUUUUAUUUAUUAUUUAAAAUUAUUUUUUAUUUUAAGUUAUUUUAUCAACUAUAUUUAAUGUAUUUAAUUACUUAUAAGUUGUAACUCGUAACACAGACACCCACUAAAUGAGAUUUUUGAUAAAAGUAUAGCAGUUUUAAAAAAUUAUUCCUAAAUUACCGUAGUAGAAAAAAUAAUUCCAAAUUUAUCGUAAUUUUGUUCAAAUAGAAAAGAGAAAAUAAUUUGUAAAUGAAAAAUAGUCUCUCCAGAAAAUAAGUAAAUCGUAUGUUGAGAAAUGGUCUUUUAAAAAAGUGAGACAUCCUCUUUUAAAGAGACGAUUUAAAAAAAUAAUAAUAAAAAAAUUAAAACAAGUGAGAAAUUAUAUCUUAAAAAGGCACGAUUUCCAAAUAUAUAUAUAAAAUUCUCACAAAAAAAAAGGAAAAAAACAAACAAGAUUUUGUCUCUUCAAAACACGAUUUCCACACACAAAAAGUGAUUAAAAAAACCCAAGUGGGCAGCACAAAAGUGAGAAGAGAGUAUUUUGGCCUUUCCAAGCUUGAAAAAGAGCACCCAACUAGGCUUUUCGUCUACAUUGGUAAUACGUUGAAUGCAAGUGUUAGGAAUGGGUUUCGGGGAUUUUGGUUGAUUUGUUUUGUAAGGGUAGUUUGAUACCGGAGCUUCAGGAUCCAGGGACUUGGGAGAAGUUGAGGAAGAGGUUGAGGAAGGAUGGGAGGAUUAUGGUUAAUGUUGGAGGGAGUUGUGUUGAGGCAAAGGAUUCAAGGAGAGAUGGGAAGGUGGUAAUGGAGGAAUCAUUGAAGGCAAUGCAUAAGGUCUUUGGUGAUCAGUCUUUGUUUUGAAUCUCGGAAACAGGAAGGAGGAUAGCUCCAUUGCUCUCACCGGCAAAUUGUCGGAUCUUGAUGAAUGGAAGAAAGUUCUUCCCUGAUCUUUAAGGUUUUAUGUGGAUGUGGACGCCCGUCAGUUCCUAGUGUGACUGUUUCCAGUAACCACUCUCUGAGAAGAAGCAUUCAGGAGCAGUCUACUGAUACAAUUCAUAUAUUUGUGUUUAUUCCUGUUAGAAGCAAUGUUUUUUUUCCCCGGAUUGUGCAAAGCUUAUUUAUGAGGUUUGAAUUUUUCUCCCACCUAAAAUCAUCCUCUCUUUUGUUUUUUUGUUCAGGGCAUCUAAGUAGUAAGGGAGUCAUAUGAUUGUAAAAUGGAUUUAUAAUAUAUUUUUAUAUUAAAUUAUAUUAAUUUUUUUAUAAUAUAUAAAUAAUUAAUUGUAUUAUAAUAUAUAUUAAAUUUUAUUUUUUUUAGUUUUUAAAUUAUCUCUUGAAAAGACUAUCUCCAAUUGCUUAAUUUAAAUUAUCUUUUGGAAAUCAUGCUCUUUUUUUUUAUCGUCUCUUCCAAAUGAAAUUUCUCAUUCUUAGUAAUUUGGAAAGAGAUAUUUUUUUUUUUAAAAAAAAAGAAAAGGUCAUAAAUUUGAAGAGACGAUUUAAAAAAAAAUAUAUCCCUCCCUCCUACCUAACAAAAUCUACCAUAGAUUUGAAAUUAUUUUUUUCAUUACGAUAAUUUAAAAAUUAUUUUUUAAAAUUACGAUACUCUUGUCAAAAAUCCCUCUACCAUUCUAAGUUGACCGGUCGGUCUAAGUCAUGGCUCCUAUUUUCUUGCCUUCUCCUAUUGCAGCAUUGCACCACGUGACAUCUCCUUUUCUUUCUACCAGGUCCUUUUCCUAUCUGCAACGAUUUUCAUCAAUUUCAAUUUGGCCACAGAUAGUGCAAACAUUUUAAUAUUUUUAUUCUUUUUAUACGGGAGAGAAAAGGGGAGAAAUAAAUAAAUUUAAAUUUCUUUUUAUUUUUCUACUUUUCUUUUCUUGUUAACAGUGAUGGAGAAUUGGCACAAGGUUAAGAGCAAACUUCUUACGGACAGUAAGACCUGCUGCUUCUUCCAUGCUAAUAUCUGCCUCCCUAAUCCCAUUCGGCAAGUUCCAAUUGAAACGAUAUAAAAGAUUAGCAAGUGCGAGCUCCACUGUUGCAAUCGCCAUAUACAUACCCGGGCAAAUUCUUCUUCCCGCUCCGAAAGGCAGUAGCUCAAAAUGUUGUCCUCUAAAAUCUACAGAGUUGUCCAUAAACCUCUCGGGCAAAAACUCCUCUGGGUUCUUCCAGAGGUUGGGGUCUCGCCCAAUUGCCCAAACGUUUACGUGGACUUGGGUUUUGGGGUAAAUGUGGUACCCGUUUAUCUCAAAAUGUGACAUGGUUUCUCUUGGAAGUAGAAGUGGGGCGGGAGGAUGCAGUCUCAAAGUUUCUUUGACCACCACCUUGAGGUAGUGAAGCUGAUCAACAUCACUCUCCGUGACUUUUCCUUUAUUUCCAAUGGAGCUUCUAACUUCAGCCUGGGCUUUUUUCAUUAUUCCUGGGUUCCUAGCAAGCUCGGUCAUUGCCCAAGCUACGGUGAUUGCACCAGUGUCCACUCCAGCCAAGAAUAAAUCCUGAGGCACAUGUUAAAAGUAAGCAAAAGAACGCUUUAGUUCCAAGUAUACCAAGCUAAGCAUUAUGCCAUUCUUGGCUCAAAGAACCCAAGACGCAAAGUCAAAUUAAAUGAUAAUCGAUUGCCCCUUUUGUAGAUAGCUCCAAGGCACUCUACGUAAUUUUGCGCCUUCCUCCUCCUCCGUCUCUCUCUUUCAAUGCUUUCAUAAUCAAACCAAGUCUUUAAAUAGAAAAAAAUAUUGGUUCAUAAAUUACCGGUCAAACCAGUAGGUAAACCACGAUGUAACGGGUAACAUUAUAAAUAUAUUAUUACAUAUUAUUAAAAUUAAAAAUAAUUAUAAAAAAUUAUAUAUAUAUAUAUAUAUAUAAUAUUUAAAUGUGAAUAUAUUAAAAAUGAAAGAAAAAUUAUUUAUUUAAUUUUAAUUAAUUUUAUAAUUUUAGAAAAUAUUAUAUGUUUUAUUUAAUAUUAUAAAUUUUUUUAGUAAAGAAUUUUUUUUUUUUGUUUGCCACAUGAAGGAACAAGUCGGAUGUAGUGGAGUGGUCUCUUAACUCAUUUAACGAGUUUAAGGUCCCAGCCCCUUUAAUGAUAAAAUUAAGGAUGGGGAACUGGGCUUUAAUGAUAAAAAGGGUGGGAAGGGAUGGAAGGGAGGGAGGCGGAGGGAGGUGGACUCGGCCUGUUUCAACGAAUAAAAAGGGGUUGCAUUUGAGCUAUUAUUAAGCUUCCAAAAUGGGGAGAUCAGGUGAUCUGAUCUAUCAUUCAUCCUUUAAACGGCUAAAAGUUGAAACAACUAUACUACACACUUAAGAAACUCAAAAAAGAAAAAAAAAAAAAAAGGAGUAGGUUGGUGACUUACCAUAAGGAUUGCUUUCGCGUUAUCUUUAGUAAACUGUAGGGCACUGGAUUCAGAUUGUUCCCUCUCUAUUCUCAGCAGCACGUCGAUGAUGUCUUCAUGCUCCUCUUUCACCCUUCCUGGGUUGAGAUGGUCUUCGAUCACCUGUUGGUAGAAGCCGUCCAUUUCAUGGAAACUCCUCUCAAGCCUUCCAUGAAGACCAGUGAGUCUAUCCACAAUCCGACCCACGUACGGAAAGAAAUCGGAUGCAGUGAGCCCGCCCAACAAAGCCAUGGCUUCAUGAACCACUUCUUGAAAUCUUCCGUCACCAAACUCACUCGCUUGAAAACUCUUUCCGAAUGCAAUCCUACAAAUUAUAUUUGCUGUGAGAGACAUUAGCCUCUCGGUAAGAUCAAUAGGACUUCCAGAAGAAGACGAUUGCACAAUUGAAUCAAUCAGCAAAGCGACCUCCUCUUCUCUGAUGAACUGAAACGACUGCACCCUUUUUGUGCUAAACACCUCGAGAACGCAGAUCUUGCGUACCUCCCUCCAGUAGUCGCCGUAUGGCGCAAAAGAUAUGUCUCGGUGAUUGUAUGAGAAUUUUCCAAGUCCAACUAAGGGAGGUCGACUGCAACAAUCAAUAUCAUGAGUUUUCAAGAAUUCCCUUGCAGCUUCCGCAGAGGAGACUACGACGGUAGGGACACCAAGCUGAAGGAGCAUGAUGGAGCCAUAUUUCUUAGAUAGUUGCCAUAAAGAGUAGUGAGGCAACGCACCAAGUUGGUGCAAAUUACCUAUAAUGGGAAGCUUAGUAGGGCCAGGAGGCAGCGGCUUCUUUUGCCCCUUCAACUCUAUUUUCCGUUUUAUGAGAAACAUAAGAGGGAGAAGUAGCAGAAGCAGAUGAAGCCAGAUUGAUGGAGAAUAGAGCGCCAUUGGAGCUUGCUCGCUCUAUGAAUCUUGGGUGGGAUGUACUUAGGAUACACAUACAUCAUCGGCUUCAACCCCAAUUCCAACUUCUACCACUAUUUUGUCCUAGCAGGCCUUCCAAUUAUCGUUUCCCCUUUUUUAUUCUAUAGCAUUACAUGCCACGUUUCGCAACGACAAGCACAGAUUUGUCUUUUCUUUCUUUCUUUCUUUACCACAAAUUUUGUGAAGUGAUACAAAGCAAGAAAAAAUAUAUUUUCUUUAUAAAACAAUUUUUUUUUUUUUGUCUACAAAUGUCCCCAUUCCAAGUCAUAACAUGCGGAUACAUUCUCAUGUAUACGAGGGCAUAUACAUACAUUUCCAUGUGCACGGAGCCGAUCUUGAAGCUAACUUUCAUUUUUUUAUUUUUUUUAAAACAAAUAUUUUAAUAAGAAGUUUCCAAUUUUAAAAUAUCUUUCCCAUUUUUUUUCAAACCCUAUUUUGUUUUUUUCCUUUUUUUCUCACUUGAUAUACCUUGUAUUAACCCAAAGUUUCAUUGGAACAUUCUCUCAAAUAUAUAGAUAAUUUUUGUCCAUCCCGAGAUCCAUUGAAUCCAAAGUAAAUUAUAAAUUAUUUUUAUAUAUUUAAUAACAUAAUAUAAAUUUUUUUUAUUAAUUUAUAAAACUUAAAUAUUUUAAUCAUGAAUAUUAUUAAAUAUUAGAAAAUUUUUAAUUUUUUAAAUAAAAAAUAUUAAAAUAUGGUAUAAUUUUUAUUUCAAAUAUUAAAAAUAAUAUGUGUUUUAUAUAUAUAUCAUUCAAUAUAUUUCAGGAUAUCAAUAUGAUAUCCUUGGAUAUACAUAUUUUAUCCUUAUCUAUUCAAUUUUGUCAACCAAAUAUAACCUAAAUUAAUGAGAAGUAAUUUAUUGAAAAUCUAUAACAAGCACAAUUUAACAUCCAUGAAGAUCUACAGGACUUCUUGAGUGAAACUUAUAAAUCCGGAGUUGAGAUGUCAAUUCUAGUGGCUAGAGCAUUGUUCAAUUUUAUAUGACCAGAUGAUAAAGAAAUUAAGGCAAAAAAUGCAAAUGAAGUUGUUUCAUGAGGAUGAACUUUGCAUAGAUUGCAAUGUCAAAUCUCAGAUCCUUUUUCAUUCAAUAAGGAAAACGAAAACAUAAAUGUAUGAGACGUGGACGGCACUCCCAACACUUACCUAAUAAAGAGUUCUCUUUUAGUGGCCCCAUUUCAAAUGUCGUGCUUCAUUUUACUUCAUCCAUAUAAACCAACAAACAUUUUGUUGUUUUCAGUGGUUAUGUCACGCACCAAAGCCAACUAGGGCCCAAGAUUUCACUAGAAUCUUAGCAACACAAGCAUCAUGCCACUCAAUAUUGCAGUAACACUCCCAGGAAUAGGGGCUAAUGGGCCCCUAAUUAAAAUCAUUCAAGCUACAAUGCAUCCAUGACCUCUAAAAGCUUUCACAUUUUUCUCUCAAUUUGCUUUUCCAUAUAUAUGCAAUAAGGCAACUUUCAAAAAAUCAAAGGGUAACUAUUUCUUAUCUUUAUUUGCAAAAGCAAUGAUUGAUAUCACUUUUUAUUUAGGACUAAGGAGAUUGUUUGCGGCUCACCAUGAGGAUUGCUUUAAUAUGAUCUUUAUUUAGCUUAAUCGCACCAAAUUUAGGGUGUUCGAUCCCUUUCUGUUUGCAGCAGCACAUCAAUGAAAUUUUCAUGUUCCUCUUUCACAGCUUAUUAAAUUGAGAUCAUGGAGUCCAAUCACCUGCUAAUAGAAACCAAUGAGGAAAAUGUCGGGAUAUAUCAGUGAUAUAUCGUGUAUCGGGAGGGGUUGAUACGAUAUUUCGUAGAGAAAAAUCAGAGGGGAGAUAUUUCCGUAAAUAUCGCCAAAAUAUCGGCGAUAUAUUGGCUCGAGGAGAUAUAUAGGAGAUUUUAAAAAAAAAAAUCACCUCUGGUGGCAAAAUAUCGGCAAAAUAUUGAUGAUAUAUCAGAGAUAAAUCGUCAAUUUUUUUGCAAUAUUUCCCCUCUUUCAUACAACGUGAUCAAACGGCCCAAAUCACGCCCGUGUUGAUAUGACGGCCUAGAUGUGAUUCCAAUGGUAAUAUGGCGAUCCAACGGCCAGAUUGCUCCCAGCUUUUUAUCCAACAGCCAAAAUUGAUUUUCAACGAUAAAUUAAUGUUCCAACGGCUAUUUUGGCCCAAAUUUUUUCUAUAAAUAGCCCAAAUUUAAUCUAUUUCAUCCAUUUUUGCUUUCAUUCUUCAUUUGCUCUCUCAUUACUCCAAUUUUUAUUAAGGUUGCUCAAUUAUUUAAUCAUUUUAAGGUAUAUUUGUUUUAAAUUGUAAUUAAUUUUGUUUGCAAUUAUAAUUAAUUCAUGUAUUUUCAAUUAAUUACUAUGUUUGUAAUAUGGAUGAAUUAAUACUAUUUUUACAUUCAAUUGUAAUUAAUUUUUAUAUUUUUAUUGAAUUAACUUAGGUUAAUUUGAUUAUUUAAUUAUAAAUUGAUAUGUUUAUUUUAGAUGAUUAUUUGUGAUUUAUUUUCACAUUUAGAAUUAAAUUAAACUAGUUAACUUUGCUAAAUUAUUUAAUUAAUUUAAUUAACAUGAACUACUAUAUUUUGAAUAUGAAAUAUGUUUAUUUAAUGAAUUUAAUGUGUAAAAAUUAUUGAUAUUUAAUUAAAUGAAGUAUUUUAUGUGACUUUAUAAUGAGAACAAUUAUAAAAUUAACAUUUCUUAUAGAUCGACAUGAUAUAAUUACAUCUAAUAUCGCAAAUUAUAUCAUAUGUAUAUCAAAUUUUUUAAUAAAACAACUUUAAAAUGUCCAUUAUACUUAUAAUUAUAUUAUUAUGAGGUUUUCCUUGCAUUUCCAUGAGUUUUUAACAAUUUUAAGCCUAUCAAUAUUUUUUUCCAGAAUAUCCGUGAUUACCGAUAUUUUCAUCCUUGGUAGAAACCAUCCAAUUCAUAGUAUGUCCUCUCGAGCCACCCAUAAAGACGAGUGAGCCUAAUCCACAAAGAUUGUCUAAAGCAUUGAAAAGUAUAGAAGUUCUAAAGAGAAACAUGCAUUGUAUAGAAAGUACAUGAUUUUAGUAUGCUAUACGUGGAUAAUAAGGUACUUUGUAAGGUUGCAAAAGAUGAUACAAUUGUUUAUGGUUCAAGUUAAAAAGUCUAUAUUAUAAAGUUUCUUAUAAAUGUCUUGUAUUUAAAUAGGUAAUUAUUUUCCAUCUAAAUGAAAGAAAAUAUAUCUGUUAAUGACUACUUUGAUGAGUUUGAUAGAACCAUGAGAGACAUAAGAAAUAUUAUGUCAAAAUUAUUGAUAAAGAUAAGUAAUAAUUUUGAUGUGUUCCCUUCCAAGUUUUUAUAAGAACCUUGUGAAUACCGUAAUAUCUUAUAGAAAUAAUCAUUCCAUAAAGGAGAUGGGGAUAUAAUUAAAUAUAAGGGAGUUUAAGAAUUAAAUGUCUAAGAAUAGAAAAAAGAAAAAAAAAACCUCAUAAAAAUAUCAAUUGGCUAGAAGGUAAAUAGGGAAAAAAAAAAAAAAAACCUUAAGCAAGAUAGGUCGAGAUCUAUAUCAAACUUCAAGGAAAAACCAAGCAUUUCAAUUACAACAAGAAAGAACGUAAUGAGAGGAAUGGUCUAGAAUGUAAAAGAAAGGCAAAAGAGAAAAUUGUUCUUUUAUGAUAUUGUAGCGGCCAAGGAAAUUCCAUGUUAUAUCCCUUUGUAGUUUUUGUAAGUGACUCAAAUAAUGAAUGAAUCCUUGAUAUAGGGUAAUCUUACCAUUUAACUUUGAGUGGAUACCCAUCAAUUUGAUGGUAGGAAAAUUAUUAUGAGAAAUACUACAACUUACAAGAUUGUUAGGAUAUGCACAAUUCAAAUUAAGAUUCUUAAUGAUAUUUUGGAUGAUACUAAUUGAUGUACAAUAUAUUCCAAUGUUGAAAAAAAGCUGAUUUCUUUUGAUACUUUUCAUUCUAAAAAGGUGCAUAUACAAAGGUAGAAGUGGACUAGGGAGAAUAUUGAAGGGUGCUCUUUUCAUAAUGAGAGGACAAAAAGUUAAUAAUUCUCAUACAUUACAAGACAACAUAGUUAUAGGUCCAAUUAUAUACACAAUAAGGUGGGACUAUUUUGAGCAAAGUGGAUUCACUUGAUAAAAAGAUAUUAGAGAGUGAGUAAUAAAAGUAAAUCCUUUUGAAAAAAAAUCUAAAUGUAGAUUUGUUUUGAAAAUAUUCACAAAAAUAGUGUUAGCUUUAGAAUUAAGGUCAUAGUAAACUGUGAAACCAAGGUGUGAUUAAUCUUGAUUUUGAUAAUAACAAAAUAAGGUUUAGAACUAAUGAUCAUAUUUCAAGUGUGAUUAGGCAAGACGAUUUCCAAAGUGACAAUCACAAAGACAAAUCAAGCCAAAGAGAAAUCAUGAAGAAGAAUACCACCUCAAAGAGAAGAGUUUUUCAAGACCAAAGCUUCAUAAGAUCUCUUUGUAAGGUUGUUGGUGCACUAAGACUUUCAUGCAUUUCAUUAUUUAUUUAUGUACUAAAAUUAUCCAAGAGUAAUAUUGUUUUAAAUAUCUUAAGAAUUGGAUGAUUUCAUGUUUUCAACUAAAACCUUGUGUUAAAUGAUUUUCAAACUUGUGUUAAAAGGUUUUAAGUUGAAAAAGGUUAGGUGUUGAGCCAAAAAAAUGGCUCGACCGGUUGUGCUCAUUCGGUCGAGGACCGGUUAAGGGAGGCCAAAAAGUUUCUCUCUCUCCCAGUGGCCUUCUCUUCCCGAUCAAGGUUGAACCUCAACCGGUUGAGGUCCGGUCGAGGUCAUGUUGAGGUCCGGUUGAGGCCCAACAGUCACUUACCAAGCAUUAAAUGCUAACGGCUAGUCAACCGGUCGACUCCUACCUCGACCAAUCGAACCCCCAACGGCUAGUUUGGUUUUUUUCUUCUAUAAAAAUGCUCUAAUCUUCAUUGUUUCAUGAGUUUAACCUUCCCAAAUCUUUCUUGAUUAUAUUUGAGCCUUGGAAGAGUAUUUUUGAGUGCACCAUUAUUUCAAAACUUGCAUAUCUUUAGUGCACCAUUCAAUCCUAAUUUUUCUUGUAUCAUUUGAACUUAAAGUUCUUGUGCUAAGAUUUUUGAAAGAUCAUUCAUUUGUAAAUCUUUAAAAGGAAGUUUCUCAAGUGUGAGGUAUCACUUGAGGGGUUGUUCAAGAGUGGGAUAUCUCUUGAGAAGUGUAAAGGGUGCUUGGAGCCAAAAAUCCAAGAGGGUGAAUUGGAACCAUAAUCCAAUUGUAUUGCUUGAAGGCUUGGUUUGGAAGCCUUGGAUUAGUAGAACCUCAAGCUCGGGAUUGAAGCUAAACGAGAGUGGAUAUAGGCCGGGUUGCACCGAACCACUAUAAACUCUUGUGUUUGCAUUCUCUCUUCACUACUCUUUAAUUUAUAUGCAAUUGUCUAUAUAUUGAUUAUUAUAUACUUGCAUAUAAUUGUCUCUUGCAUUCACUGGUUUAAAUUUGAGAAAAGAGAUCAUCACUCUAUUCACCCCCCUUUAGGGUGAUUACCAUAGGUUGGAUUAGCCUAAUAUUUCUAGCAUAAACUAUAAUUUUUAUUACCAUAAUUAAUGACUAUGGUUUAACCUUAAACUUAAAACCAAGGUCAGUGAUUAUAGUUUUAACAUAAUUUUUUUAAAAAAAAUAAUAAAAUAUAUGUUAAUGAAGAACUAGUUUGAUGAAUAUUUUUAAAAGUAAUCUAAAUUUGGAAUUUCUUUUUCUUGAAAAAAAUUAAUUUUGUGGCAAAUUAUGAAUUUUAAAGAGUAAAAAAUUUUAAAUUAGUUUAAAAAAUUAUUUUUAAAAACUUGUAACAGAUCCAAAACUGCCUUGACACCGACGUUAUACAAAUGUAGGCAUUAAGCCCACAAAUUAAUAAAAUUUGAUAUUUUUAUUUUUAGGGCUACAUUUGGUCCCAGAAAAUACUAAGGAAAGAAAAAAAAAAUGUAAAGGAAAAUGAUUUUUUCAUAUUUGGUUGUCCUAUAAAAAAUAUCAAAGAAAAUCAAAUAUAAUUUAAACUAAUUAAAAAUUUAUGUAUUUUUAAAUUAUUUAAUUUUUAUAUUGAUGAGUUAAAAAAAAUAAAUUGAGUUUAAAGUAACAAAAAAAUAAUUUAUCAACUUUUAAUCUUUUUUAUUUAUUUUUCUCUAUUUUUUCUUUCCUUCUAUUUUUCUUUUGUAUUUUUUUUUUUUUUUUUUGCAUUUUCCUUCAAAUUUUAUGGAACCAAACAUAGCCCAGAGUGGGAUCAAAAUCCAUAACAUAAAAGAUAUUCUCAUGUGGGUCAGGCUUGGACCUAGAGACAGGUCGAAGUAGCAUCUUGUAAAAUCCAUGAGGUAAAACAUAUGAUUAAAAAUCAAUUAAAAUGGGCCAAGGGCCCCAUAACAGAGCCCAUUAGAUACGUGGCACAACAUCGAUGCGCUGUGUAAACCUAUAGAUGACAGGGUCACAGAGUUGCCCCUUGGAACAUCUAACCCUAGGUGCCGUAUAUUCCAUUUUGAAAAUAUAAAAAAAGUUGACUCAACCACGGUUUGCCUGCAUCUAACCAUGGUCGUCAACGUGUCCGAUCUCUUUGAAAGAACUAGGGUUAGGGUUAGGGUUCGAUCCGAUUGCGACCAAUGGAGAUGGAAAGUGUGACUGAGUUUCCUCAUACUCACAUGGAUCGGCGUCCUCGGAAGAGGCCUAGGUUUGCUUGGGAUGCACCUCAACUUCACCCUAAGGUAAAACUCGAAACCUUUUUGGCUGCUUUUGGUUGCCCAGAAUUGGAGUUCCCAUAUUUGGAUUCGGAUUUUGUGCAACCAAACGCAGCUUUGUAUCAUGAUUGUCCUUUUUUUAAAAUUAGAAAUGUUCCAAAUACAUUUUUUAAAAAUAAUUUAUCCAGUAUAUAUAUAUACACAUUCAUAGAAUCUUUUUGAAAUUUAAAAAAUAUUUAAUAAAUCAACAUAAUAACUUCAGAAAUUAAUAUAUUGUAAUGAUUAAAUUUAGGUUAUUAAGUAUAUUUAGUAUUAUAAUUUAAAAUCAAAAUUAAUUUUUGACAAGAAAACUUAAUGACUUAAUAUAACUUAAUAAUUUAAACAUAAAAUUACUUUAAAUUAUUAUUAAGUAUUAUGUUUUAUGAAAUUCUAAUUGACUUAUUUUUCUUGGCAUAUAAGUGUAAACAUAAUUUUCUUGAUUUCAAAAGAAAACACGACAUAGCCUUCAUGUUGGUAGUGGGAGCAAAGACAACAUAAGAAUUUUUGGACUGUUUGACGAUAUUUCAUUAUAUUUGUUUUUAAAAAUUAUGUUUAAGUUAAAGAAUGAAAAGUAAACUUUUGAUGUUUUCUAAAAGGAAAAAUGUUUUACAAUUAAUUUUGAAGUGCAUUCUAUAUAUAUAUAUAUAUAUAUAUAUAUAUAUAUAUAUAUAUAUAUAUAUAUAUAUAUAUAUAUAAAAGGGAAAAAAACAGGUUUGAAUAAAUUGUUCUUAAAAACAAAUUUUUAUUUUGAUUUUAAAAAUGUUGUUAAUCAAUUUAUAUGAUUUAAACUAUAUUUAAUUUAAGUCUUAUUAAAAAUAAAAAUUAAUUUGUUAUUAUAAAUAAAUUUAAAAAUAUAUAGUUUUUAGUAAAAUAUGAAUAUGAAUAUUAUAGUGAAAUCAUAAAUUGUUUUAUAUAUAUAUAAAAAAAAAUGAUAUUGCCGCUAUAACAAAUAUGAUGUUUUAAAAAUAUAUAGAUUUUAGUAAAAUAUGAAUACUAAUAUCAUAAUGAAAUCAUAAAUUGUAUUUUUUUUUCAUAAAAAAUGAUAUUAUAUAUUUUUGUAGUUAAUUAUGAAGAUAUGGAUAUUAAUAUCUUUAUAUAAUACAAUUAUUUUUUUUUAAAUUUAAUUUCUUUUAAUUUGAAAAAAAAAAUCAUAACAUAGAUAAAUUUAGUAACAUAUUUUGAAGAAUUAAUUUUUAAAUUUUCAAAUUAUUUUUUAAAAUUAGAAUAUUUAUUAUUAAGUCUCACUUGAUUUGGUUUCACUUAAUUCAAAAUUGAGUUGUCGAGUAAGAAAAUUUAAAAUAAACAAUAAAAUUAUGAUGUAUUAUAUAUCAUAUUUGGUCUAUUAUUUUUUAUAGUGAUUAAAUAUAUUUUUAAGUUUCAAAUCAUUUUUAAAAAUUAUUAAAUGUUAUAAUAAAUUUAAUAUAUUAAGUCUUGUUUGAUCUGAAAUUUAUUUGUCAAUAAUAAAAUUUAUAAAAAUAUAAUUAUGUGUAAAAAAACAAUAAUAAAAUUAUUCUAGACCAAUUCUUGUAAAUGGAUUUUUGUUAUAAAGUGUAUUAUAUUUUUAGUUGUAAUCAUUUUUCUCAAUUCAUAAACUUGUUAAUAAAUCCAAUGCAUUCAAAUCUACUUGUUUAAUAAAAAAUUUAUGAAAGUAUAGUUUAAAAGUGCAAAAUAGAGUCAUUUUUUUAUCCAUAAAUUUAUAGUAUUAAUUGGUUGAUUAUUUGAGUUUUAAAUUAUUUUUAAAAAUUACUAAAUUCUUUAAUAAAUCUAACGCAUUGAGUUUUAUUUGAUUUUGAGUUUAUUUACCUAAUUAAAAAAUUCACAACAUAUACUUAUAUGUAAGGAAAAAACUAACAAAGUCAUUUACAAUGAAUUUUGAUCUAUCAGUUUCUAAUGGUACUUGAAUUAGUUUUAAAUUGCAUAACUUUCUAGUACUAACUAGAUUAGUUCUUGAGUUCCAAAUUAUCUUCAAGUUUCAAAUUAUUAGUUCUAGCUUAGUUUUUGAGUUUCAAAUUAUUUUUAAAUAAAAUUAUUUCUAAAAAUGAUUAAAUUGUAUGCAUCAAAUAUCAUUUUAUUUGAGGUCUCAUUGUCUAAUAAUUUUUUUUUUUAAAGAAGUAGAAAGAAAUUUGAAAAAAUAAUUAUAAUUAAAAAAGAUAUCAUAUUUGAAGAUUUUAUAUAUAUAUAUAUAUAUAUAUAGUGAUUGGUGAAGAGAAAAUAAAAUGAGAAAAAGAGAUUGUGUUAUUUUUUUUAAUUAUUUUUUUAAGUUCUCCAAAUUUUCCGUUUAUUUUAAAAAAAAAACCAUUAAAAUAAUUUUUAUUUGUUUUCUACAAACUAUUCUUCAUUCCACUUUAAUUUUUAAAAAUUGUUUCCAAAUUGUUACCAAUGAAAAUGUUAUUAAUUUAAAAAAGCAAUUUCUUACCUUUAAAAAUAAAAUUUUAUUUUUAAAUCAUAACAAAAACACAUUAAAUUAUAAGAGUCAUAAACGACAAUGUUGAUAAGAAUCGCAAUCCUUUACUUUUUUUUUCUUUUUUGGCAUCAAUUUCACAAGACAUAUCGUCCUUAUUUCCCUAUGUUAACUAAGAAACAAAAAAUCACUUUACUUAUGAGUAAAGUCCUCCUCAAGAGAUGACCUUAAGAACCAACCUUUCCCACUUUGUGUUGAAAAGAAACCUUUAACAACUUUUGAUAAGUUGUGACACAAAUUAGGCUAUAAUGGUGGUAGAAGGUUGUCCUGAUACUGAAUUUGGCAUUAUGUACAAAAUGAGGUAAAAGAAUGACAAAAAAAUUGAACAUAAUUGAAAAAAAGAGGAAGAAUGCCCGUAAAAAACUAGUAAGUACCAAAGGGAAAUAGGGUCCUCCUCAUCAAUCGUAUCACUCUCUGCAUCUACCAAACUGCAAAAAUCCAUCUUUGCAUAUUGAAAGUGAUGGAGUAAAGCAGAAUUAUUCAUGAAGAAUUUUAACUUCUUCACUAAUAUCUUGAUAAAAAUGGUAAUUAUAUUUGUAUCAUCUACAUGGUAAUUAAUAUUUAUUUUAAUAUCUCACUUUAUCAUAAAUUGCAGAGGUUUUCACUUUCUUUUUAUUUUACACCCCUUAUUAUUUUAUUUUUAAAUAAAAAAGACAUGAGAAACUACACAUUUGUAAUUAGAAAUGAAAAUGAAAAUUAAAAAUUAUUUUUACAUUUUUUUUCAAACUAAUUUUAUUUAUUUUUUUCACCUUUGUAAAGAUUAAAAAUAUAUAAAAAAAUUGAGUAAUUUUAUCUAUAUUUAUUUUUUUGUAUUUUUUUUAGAGUAAAUCAAAUAUGAAAGGUAAAUGAUUUUUUUUCUUAGUACUAUCUUAAACUAAGCGUUGCUAUGCAUGGUAAGUUAUUAAAAUGAUGAUAAUGCCUUAUAAGAAGAAAGGCAACAAAAUUUUUCCCUUUUUCUUUUUCUAAUUUUCCUCAAUUUUUAUUCUCAUUUCUUUGGCGCAAGCUGUUUACAAUCCAAACGAAAUUGAACCUUCCAUGGAAAAGGAAAAAAAAAUAAAACAAAAUAAGAAGCACAAUCAAAUUUCAAAUUUUUUUUCCAUGAAAUAAAUUUCCUUUUUUUUUUAACAUUUUUCAUGGAAGAAACGAUAAAAAUGUUGGGAAAAAAACUAUUCAAAACUAAUUUAUUUUUAAUUUCAAAAACCUAAUUUAUUUUACCUUUUCUUCCUAUUUUUUUUCCCUCUGAUUUUUCUUUAAAACAUUUACGAGAACAAAGCAUAAUCAACCAAACAUAGCCUACACGUUUCCUAUGUCAUUUUCCCAGGAAAAAGGACUGGUGUUUAAUCUCCAUACUCCACUUAUUUUCAUUAAUUUAUCAGCAACUUAAAGUUUUCGUGGGACAAAUACAAAGAAUAUCAAGAACGAUUCCUCUUAUCACCGGUAUUGUUAACAGUGAUGGAGAAUUGGCACAAGGUUCAGAGCGAACUUCUUACGGACAGUAAGACCUGCUGCUUCUUCCAUGUUAAUAUCUGCCUCCCUCAUCCCAUUCGGCAAGUUCCAAUUGAAACGAUAUAAAAGAUUGGCAAGUGCGAGCUCCACUGUUGCAAUCACCAUAUACAUACCCGGGCAAAUUCUUCUACCCGCUCCGAAAGGCAGUAGCUCAAAAUGUUGUCCUCUAAAAUCUACAGAGUUGUCCAUAAACCUCUCGGGCAGAAACUCCUCUGGGUUCUUCCAGAGGUUGGGGUCUCGCCCAAUAGCCCAAACGUUUACUUGGACUUGGGUUUUCGGGUAAAUGUGGUAUCCGUUUAUCUCAAAAUGUGACAUGGUUUCUCUUGGAAGUAGAAGUGGGACGGGAGGAUGUAGUCUCAAAGUUUCUUUGACCACCAUCUUGAGGUAGUGAAGCUGAUCGACAUCACCCUCCGUGACUUUUCCUUUAUUUCCAAUGGAGUUUCUAACUUCAACCUGGGCUUUUUUCAUUAUUCUUGGGUUCCUAGCAAGCUCGGUCAUUGCCCAAGUUAGGGUGAUUGCACCAGUGUCCACUCCAGCCAAGAAUAAAUCCUGAGGCACAUGUUAAAAGUAGGCAAAAGAACACUUUAGUUCCAAUAAGUAUACCAAGCUAAGCAUUAUGCCAUUCUUGGUUCAAAGAAACCAAGACGCAAAGUCAAAUUAAAUGAUAAUCGAUUGGCCCUUUUGUAGAUAGCUCCAAGGCACUCUACGUAACUGCUCCUGCCUCCCGUCUCUCUCUUCCACAUUUCCAUUUACAUCAUUAAUAGAACUUAUCAAGUAUUUUAUGACACGAGAUCUGACCAUAACUACAUUAAAACUUAACAAUGUAAAGUGUGUUGAGUUAUCUAAGUGUGAGCUUAGGAAAUGUGAUAUUAAGCUUCCCAAAUGGGGACCUGAUCUAUCAUUCAUCCUUUAAAUAGCUAAGAGUUGAAACAACAAACUCAAAAAAGAAACGAAAAAAAAUGAGACGGAUCAAAGGAGUAGGUUGGUGGCUUACCAUGAGGAUUGCUUUUGCACUAUCUUUAGUAAACUGUACAGCACCGGAUUCAGACCGUUCCCUCUGUAUUUUCAGCAGCACGUCGAUAAUGUCUUCAUGCUCCUCUUUCACCCUUCCUGGGUUGAGAUGGUCCUCAAUCACCCGUUGGUAGAAACCGUCCAUUUCAAGGAAACUCCUCUCAAGCCUUCCAUGAAGACCAGUGAGUCUAUCCACAAUCCGACCCACGUACGGAAAGAAAUCGGCUGCAGUGAACCCGCCCAACAAAGCCAUGGCUUCACGAACCACUUCUUGAAAUCUUCCGUCACCAAACUCACUCACUUGAAAACUCUUUCCGAAUGCAAUCCUGCAAAUUAUAUUUGCAGUGAGAGACAUUAACCUCUCGGUAAGAUCAAUAGGACUUCCAGAAGAAGAUGAUUCCGCAAUUGAAUCAAUCAGCAAAGCGACCUCCUCUUCUCUGAUGAACUGAAACGACUGCAGCCUUUUUGUGCUAAACACCUCAUGAACACAGAUCUUGCGUACCUCCCUCCAGUAAUCGCCGUAUGGCGCAAAACCUAUGUCUUGGUGAUUGUAUGAGAAUUUUCCAAGUCCAACUAAGGGAGGUCGACUGCAACAAUCAAUAUCAUGAGUUUUCAAGAAUUCCCUUGCAGCUUCCGCAGAGGAGACUACGACGGUAGGGACACCGAGCUGAAGGAGUAUGAUGGGGCCAUAUUUCUUAGAUAGUUGCCACCAAGAGUAGUGAGGCAACGUACCAAGUUGGUGCAAAUUACCUAUAAUGGGAAGCUUAGUAGGGCCAGGCGGCAGCGGCUUCUUUUGCCCCUUCAACUCUAUUCUCCGUUUUAUGAGAUACAUAAGAGGGAGAAGCAGCAGAAGCAGAUGAAGCCACAUCGAUGGGGAAUAGAGUGCCAUAGGAACUUGCUAGCUCUAUUAAUCUUAGGUGGGUUGUAGAUACACUACAAAAAGAUACUUUUAUAGUUGCGGUCCUAUCCUGCAGCUAAAAUUAACAAAAAAUUGUGACCAUAUAAAAUUUAGAUAGGGAUAAAAUAGAGCAAAGCUUAGUCAUAGACCAUAGAGGGUGCAGACAAAUCCUAUGGCUGUAGCCACUUAUAUAAAACUGCCAGUAGAAGAAGUUAAAAAUUAUUAAUAGGCUAUACAGGGUUGCAGUUUUCUCUUGGCUGCUACCAUAAGGCUCAUAGGAUGCACUUUUCUUGGCCCCUACUAUAGCUAAUUUAUGUGGACAUAAUUUAUUCACUACUAUAGAUCUUUAUUUUUAUUUAUUUAUUUUUUUCAAUGCCUUUUCCUAUUUAUCAAUUAAAAUAUUUUCAAGAGGAAAACCAAUAUCCGAACACAUUUACACACACACAAUUGCCAAUACUUUCAACGUUAAUUGAAAAUAGAAAAUGCAAAAGACUUUGAUGAGCUGUUUUGCUGAACCACUGGCAAAAAGUAGUAAGCGAGCACUUGUGAGCAUCAAUUGCAAGGUAGGCACUUGCCAUUUCUCACCAGCCUGAGAUGCACUCACAAAUGGUUUUUGGUGUGUGCAGGAUGAGCCAUCACUCUAAUGCUAGAAGGCAUUCUUGAGGUUUCUCACCACCAUGUCCUUUCCUCUUUCAGUUCGGUGUCCCGCUGAUCUGAUCUUCAGACAACACCAAGGUUCAGUCUGCGAAGUAAGGGACUCACCAAUGUUUCCUUCAAACAAGACAAAAAGAAACGGAAAUGGAUCAUUCUGCCUUUUCAUUUGUGUUUCUACGUAUGACUCGUGGUGAUCACCUGAUGGAAUUUGAUCAUUCAGCGAAUCUCAUCGAAAACGGUUUCACAGUUCAGGGGAUUAUUGGUAACUUUGGAAUUAAAGUCUAUUAUUUUAAGCCCUUUCAGUAUUUAUAGUCAAAGCAAAAGAUGAAAGGAACAACAUGAUAUCUUCAGCUUCAGCUUUUACUUUUGCUCUUGACAAGGCUGAAACUGAUCCUGGAAUCAAAACUCACAUACACAAGUAGAUAUUUAACAGGAAAGGAUCCAAAUCCCUUCAAUUGAUUAAUGUAUAAAUGAAUCAUAUUGAUUGUUUGAAGUGACAACAAAAUUCUGGAAGAGGAGAAAGUUUGACACUGGAGAGCAACAAAAUGACAAGACCAUAAAUAAAUUUAACACCAAGUGCUACUGCCCCAAGAUAUCUAUGAUGCAUCUCUGAAAAAUUCAGAUAAUGGUCAAGAAGGCAGGCUCAUGGGACUAUCAAAUAACCAUUUGAUUUAAGAUUAAAAUAUUUUUCAUAUUUAGGCUCCAAGAAAAUUAAAAUAAAUGAAUAAAUCGUGAUGAUAAUUAAUAAAUAAAGAAAUAGAAAAUCAUCCAUAAAAUGUUAUUUGCAAAUAUUUCACAAAUUGAAAAAUUCUAUGCAAUUUGAACGAUUACUUGGUGAUCAUGCCGAAGUAAGCAAUGAGAAACUAUAUGUAAACUACUAAACAAAAAUAGAAACAGAACCUGCUAAGUAGAAACAAGUGUUUUCCGCUAGGAAACACAGGCCAAAAGAAAAAAGGGGAAAUGAUUCAAAAAUCAAUUACGAAAUAAGUGAUGUAGAGGCAAAAGGGACCUAAUGGGCCUCAUAUGCAUAUCCUUGGAAACAAAAAAUUUAUCUUUCUACAUAGUCUAAUGAUAAACAACAUAUUCACCCACCUCUCAUAGGAGGUGGGGCAGUUGUAUAUUGUCUCCACAUACACCAAACCUGUUUCUUGAUCACUAGAAUAAAUAGGAGGCAAUUAAUCAAGGCAGGUAAUGCAAAUCCAGACAAUAGAGUAAGACUGGAAGAUAGAGCAUACAUGUAAUUGAGAAAAGUGUUGUAGUUCUUGUCCACCUGAAUGCCAGCUAUUCAAGUACGGUAGAUGUUGGCCUUCAUCUCUAAAUUAUAAACAGAAAUGAGAUGGUGUUUGCUCUUCUUCUCCUACAAUGGACCUAGUUGUUUAAGAGACAUGGAGAUAGCUAGAUUUGGUAUAUACAGCUGUGUUUGGUUUUGUCUAAAUGGAAGUAAGAUAAGUCAAUGAGAUUUUCUAGAUAACAAUUGUUUUUCUUGGUGUUUUGAAUACAUUUCCUAUAUCAUAUAAGCUGAGUAAAAAUCUAGAAGAAGAAAGCCAACAAAAUUAUGUUGUACAAGUUGAUGCUACAUUUGGAUAUUAUUGCUUUAACGAUAAGUUUUGUUGUAAUAAUUAUUUCCUAACGAGAUGGGUAGGACUCCAGUUUGAACAUUGGGCUCUACCAACCCAACAUCAAGUCCAUGGGCAACUCGGGUCUCUAUGGGUUCUUAUAGGUUUUCGCAUCAUACCAAGAAAGUAAUUAUUUUAAAAUUUAUAUCAUGUAAAUCAUAUUAUCAAAAAAAAUGUUAAAACUAAUCUAUUUCGUAAUUAUUUUUAAAAACAGUUCUAGAAAACAAUUUUUAACAACUAUUCUUUGAUGUUUUAUAAAGUAAAAAUUUGUUUAAAUAUCUAAAAUAAAUUUUAAAAUAUGUUUUUUUUUAAUUUAAAUAUGUUUUUAAAAUAAUUUUUAUAUUUAAUAUUUUAUUUUUAAUCAUUCUACAUAUUUAUAUAAUUAUUUAAAAAAAAAUUGAAAACAAUUAAAAAAUAUUAUUUAAAAACACAAUAAAAAAUAAAAAAUAAAAACAAAUUUCUAAUUACCAAGUGUGUUCUCAAGAACAUAAAACUAUUUUUGAAAACAUAUACCCAAAAAACCCUAAAUAACUCAAAAUCAUAAAAUAUAUGUGUUAGUUUCUAAUUUAACAUAAAUAAUAAUCCAUAAAUUCAAAUUUCAAAGACCAAAGUUAAUUUAACAAUUAAAAAAAGUAAUAAAUCCAUUAAUCUAAAAUAAUUAAUAAAAAGCAAUAAGUCACUUCCUAUGAUAACUAAAAAGUGAUAAAUAUAAUUUAAUUUUAAAUAAUAAUAAUAACAAAUAAAUAAACAAUAAUCACCUUUAACAUAUGACAAAUUUUACUCUAAAAAGAGCAUUUGAUGAAACUAAAAUUAAAUUAUAUUUAAGUUGUUAAAUUAAAACUUAUUAUUUAAUUUUCAUUUUAAAUAUUAAAAUUUUUUGAUAAAAUUAUUUUAAAAUUUAUUUUAAAUCAUCAAAUUAACAUAUUUAUCCUCAUAAAUUAUAAUUAGGGUAAAGAAAGUCAAAUAAUAAUAAAGGUUGUGGAGUAACGAAAAAAAUCAUAGAGAUAAUUAAGAUAAAUCAUAAUAAAAAAAUAAUAAUAAAGAUGUAAACUUAAUAAUAAUUAAUUGUUUUUAUUUAUUAUUUAAAAUUAUUUUUUAUUUUAAGUUAUUUUAUCAAUUAUAUUUAAUGUAUUUAAUUACUUAUAAGUUGUAACUCGUAACACAGACACCCACUAAAUGGGAUUUUUGAUAAAAGUAUGACAGUUUUAAAAAAUUAUUCCUAAAUUACCGUAGUAGAAAAAAUAAUUCCAAAUUUAUGGUAAUUUUGUUCAAAUAGAAAAGAGAAAAUAAUUUGUAAAUGAAAAAUAGUCUCUUCAAAAAAUAAGUAAAUCGUAUCUUGAGAAAUGGUUUUUUAAAAAAGUGAGACAUCCUCUUUUAAAGAGACGAUUUAAAAAAAUAAUAAUAAAAAAAUUAAAACAAGUGAGAAAUUGUAUCAUUAAGAGGCACGAUUUCCAAAUAUAUAUAUAUAUAAUUCUCACAAAAAAAAAAAAAAGGAAAAAAACAAACAAGAUUUUGUCUCUUCAAAACACGAUUUCCACACAAAAAGUGAUUAAAAAAACCCCAAGUGGGCAGCACAAAAGUGAGAAGAGAGUAUUUUGGCCUUUCCAAGCUUGAAAAAGAGCACCCAACUAGGCUUUUCGUCUACAUUGGUAAUACGUUGAAUGCAAGUGUUAGGAAUGGGUUUCGAGGAUUUUGGUUGAUUUGUUUUGUAAGGGUAGUUUGAUACCAGAGCUUCAGGAUCCAGGGACUUGGAAGAAGUUGAUGAAGAGGUUGAGGAAGGAUGGGAGGAUUAUGGUUAAUGUUGGAGGGAGUUGUGUUGAGGCAAAGGAUUCAAGGAGAGAUGGGAAGGUGGUAAUGGAGGAAUCAUUGAAGGCAAUGCAUAAGGUCUUUGGUGAUCAGUCUUUGUUUUGAAUCUCGGAAACAGGAAGGAGGAUAGCUCCAUUGCUCUCACCGGCAAAUUGUCGGAUCUUGAUGACUGGAAGAAAGUUCUUCCCUAAUCUUUAAGGUUUUAUGUGGAUGUGGAUGUGGACGCCCGUCAGUUCCAAGUGUGACUGUUUCCAUUAACCACUCUCUGAGAAGAAGCAUUCAGGAGCAGUCUACUGAUGCAAUUCAUAUAUUUGUGUUUAUUCCUGUUAGAAGCAAUGUUUUUUUUUUCCCCGGAUUGUGCAAAGCUUAUUUAUGAGGUUUGAAUUUUUCCCCCACCUAAAAUCAUCCUCUCUUUUGUCUCUUUGUUCUCGAUUGGUUCAUUAGGGCAUCUAAGUAGUAAGGGAGUCAUAUGAUUGUAAAAUAGAUUUAUAAUAUAUUUUUAUAUUAAAUUAUAUUAAUUUUUUUAUAAUAUAUAAAUAAUUAAUUGUAUUAUAAUAUAUAUUAAAUUUUAUUUUUUUUAUUUUUUAAAUUAUCUCUUGAACAGACAAUCUCCAAUUGUUUAAUUUAAAUUAUUUUUUGGAAAUCGUGCUCUUUUCUUCAAAAUGAAAUUUCUCAUUCUUAGUAAUUUGGAAAGAGAUUUUUUUUUUUAAAAAAAAAAAGGGUCAUAAAUUUGAAGAGACUAUUUAAAAAAAUAUAUAUCUCUCCCUCCUACCUAACAAAAUCUAUCAUAGAUUUGAAAUUAUUUUUUUUAUUAUGGUAAUUUAAAAAUUAUUUUUUAAAAUUACGGUACUCUUGUCAAAAAUCCCCCUACCAUUCUAAGUUGACCGGUCGGUUUAAGUCAUGGGUCCUAUUUUCUUGCCUUCUCCUAUUGCAGCAUUGCACCACGUGACAUCUCCUUUUCUUUCUACCAGGUCCUUUUCCUAUCUGCAACGAUUUUCAUCAAUUUCAAUUUGGCCACAGAUAGUGCAAACAUUUUAAUAUUUUUAUUCUUUUUAUAUGGGAGAGAAAAGGGGAGAAAUAAAUUAAAUAAGUAUGUAAAAAUAAAUAAAUUUAAACUUCUUUUUAUUUUUCUACUUUUCUUUUCUUGUUAACAGUGAUGGAGAAUUGGCACAAGGUUAAGAGCAAACUUCUUACGGACAGUAAGGCCUGCUGCUUCUUCCAUGCUAAUAUCUGUCUCCUUCAUCCCAUUCGGCAAGUUCCAAUUGAAACGAUAUAAAAGAUUAGCAAGUGCGAGCUCCACUGUUGCAAUCGCCAUAUACAUACCCGGGCAAAUUCUUCUUCCCGCUCCGAAAGGCAGUAGCUCAAAAUGUUGUCCUCUAAAAUCUACAGAGUUGUCCAUAAACCUCUCGGGCAAAAACUCCUCUGGGUUCUUCCAGAGGUUGGGGUCUCGCCCAAUUGCCCAAACGUUUACGUGGACUUGGGUUUUCGGGUAAAAGUGGUAUCCGUUUAUCUCAAAAUGUGACAUGGUUUCUCUUGGAAGUAGAAGUGGGGCGGGAGGAUGCAGUCUCAAAGUUUCUUUGACCACCAUCUUGAGGUAGUGAAGCUGAUCGACAUCACCCUCCGUGACUUUUCCUUUAUUUCCAAUGGAGUUUCUAACUUCAGCCUGGGCUUUUUUCAUUAUUCUUGGGUUCCUAGCAAGCUCGGUCAUUGCCCAAGAUACGGUGAUUGCA
rnacentral:lncRNA from 1 species